CGAACCCAAACAAAACCCUGCAGAGGAAGAUAUGAUUAAAGAUCACACGGUGCGAUCGUGACCUCUUUCAACCUGACGGAGGUGACUAACGAGUAUGAAGUACAUUUAGGGCCUACAGUGGCUUUGGCAUUCAGGAUUUCGUUGAUCCAUCCAAACAAUAAUCAGUAAAAGUGCAGUUCUACCAGGACCAUUUCAAAGUAUACUUGCCGCGAGCUACCCUCGACACAUUGGAGUUCUGGAAUGAUGGCCGGGCGGAAAGUUUCAUCGAAGAGGAAGAAAAAAACACUUUGAAUGC